rnacentral:rRNA from 1 species
CAGAGGGGGCAAGCGUUAUUCGGAAUUAUUGGGCGUAAAGGGCGCGUAGGCGGCUUUGCAAGUGACGGGUGAAAGCCCUCGGCUUAACCGAGGAACUGCCUGUCAGACUGUGAAGCUUGAGACCGGGAGAGGUGAGUGGAAUUCCCAGUGUAGCGGUGAAAUGCGUAGAUAUUGGGAGGAACACCAGUGGCGAAGGCGGCUCACUGGACCGGAACUGACGCUGAGGCGCGAAAGCGUGGGGAGCAAACAGGAUUAGAUACCCUGGUAGUCCACGCCGUAAACGAUGAGUGCUUGGUGUAGCGGGUAUCGACCCCUGCUGUGCCGAAGUCAACACAUUAAGCACUCCGCCUGGGGAGUACGGUCGCAAGACUG